rnacentral:tRNA from 1 species
GCCUUCGUGGUGUAGCGGUCAGCAUGCUAGGCGCGUAAUCGAGAGGUCCGAGGUUCGAGUCCUGGUGAAGGCA